GCAAACUUGGUCAUUUAGAGGAAGUAAAAGUCGUAACAAGGUUUCCGUAGGUGAACCUGCGGAAGGAUCAUUAAUGAAUAACACAUAAGGUGGAGGAUUGUUGCUGGCAUAUAUACUAUUUUGCAUGUGCACAUCCUUACCUUAUUUUUCCUUAAUUCACACCUUGUGCACACAACCAUUUAGCUGUUUUGCUAUAUGGAAUUUUUUCAUACACACAUUGAUUUUUUGGGAUAUUAAUACACAUAUAAUAAAAUAACUUUCAGCAACGGAUCUCUUGGCUCUCGCAUCGAUGAAGAACGCAGC
rnacentral:misc_RNA from 1 species